rnacentral:sRNA from 1 species
GGUAGCUUUUAAGUUCGAGUUUUUGUUGUUGAGUUUUAUUACUAAAAUUAUACUUUCACUAAUUUUUAUUUUUUGUUUAAGAUUGCUGAUAUGCUUUAUUCACUUUUACAGGCCCUAGAUGGUCAGAAUAUUUAUAAUGCCUGCUGUACCCUAAGGAUUGAUUUUUCCAAACUUGUGAAUUUGAAUGUAAAAUACAACAAUGAUAAAAGUAGGGAUUAUACUCGACCUGAUCUUCCAUCUGGGGAUGGACAACCUGCAUUGGACCCAGCUAUUGCUGCAGCAUUUGCCAAGGAGACAUCCCUCUUAGCUGUUCCAGGAGCUCUGAGUCCUUUGGCUAUUCCAAAUGCUGCUGCAGCAGCUGCUGCAGCUGCUGCUGGCCGAGUGGGUAUGCCUGGAGUCUCAGCUGGUGGCAAUACAGUCCUGUUGGUUAGCAAUUUAAAUGAAGAGAUGGUUACGCCCCAAAGUCUGUUUACCCUCUUCGGUGUUUAUGGAGAUGUGCAGCGUGUGAAGAUUUUGUACAAUAAGAAAGACAGCGCUCUAAUACAGAUGGCUGAUGGAAACCAAUCACAACUUGCCAUGAAUCAUCUUAAUGGACAGAAAAUGUAUGGAAAAAUUAUUCGUGUUACUCUGUCUAAACAUCAGACUGUACAGCUACCUCGAGAGGGACUUGAUGAUCAAGGGCUAACAAAAGAUUUUGGUAAUUCCCCAUUGCAUCGUUUUAAGAAACCUGGAUCCAAAAAUUUUCAAAACAUUUUUCCUCCUUCUGCCACUCUUCACCUAUCUAAUAUCCC